rnacentral:rRNA from 1 species
UCGGGGGAAAGAUUUAUCGCCGAAAGAUCGGCCCGCGUCUGAUUAGCUAGUUGGUGAGGUAAAGGCUCACCAAGGCGACGAUCAGUAGCUGGUCUGAGAGGAUGAUCAGCCACAUUGGGGACUGAGACACGGCCCCAAACUCCUACGGGAGGCAGCCAGUGGGGAAAUAUUGGACAAUGGGCGCCAAGCCCUGAUCCCAGCCCAUGCCGCGUGAGUGAUGAAAGGCUCUUAGGGUUGUAAAAGCUCUUUUGUCCGGGAAAGAUAAAUGACUGUACCGGAAAGAAAUAAGCCCCGGCUAACUUCGUGCCCAGCAGCCGCGGUAAUACGAAAGGGGGCUAGCGUUGCUCGGAAUCACUGGGCGUAAAAGGGCGCGUAGGCGGACUUUUAAGUUCGGAGGUGAAAGCCCAGGGCUCAACCCUGGAAUUGCCUUCGAUACUGGGAGUCUUGAGUUCGGAAGAGGUUGGUGGAACUGCGAGUGUAGAGGUGAAAUUCGUAGAUAUUCGCAAGAACACCGGUGGCGAAGGCGGCCAACUGGUCCGAAACUGACGCUGAGGCGCGAAAGCGUGGGGAGCAA